GAGAGAGAGAGAGAGAGAGAGAGAGAGAGAGAGAGAGAGAGAGAGAGAGAGAGAGAGAGAGAGAGAGAGAGAGAGAGAGGGAAAAACACAUUUCUCAUUAGUAUUAUUGUAGACAGACACAUUACCAAUCAUCCUGCACCGGUUGAGGGAGUAUUAGGACUGAACCAAAUCUAUUACUUCAAAGCCAAGUUACAUAACACCCCUCGCACCGGUAACCCGAGAGGCAGGCGGGACGCCUGGAAUAUGGCCCAGCUGGUUCCUGAUGUUGCUAAUUGGUGCAAACGAGGGGGACCUGUGAUUGCGUGGCCAUGAAAACAAAACCCCCAGUAACAGGCUCGUGACAGGGCGGGGGACCCAGGGUUAAGGAGCUGCUUCCACCAAACUGUGACCUCUCACUCAACCAGGACCCAGCGGUGGGGGGCGAACAGGGACUCCGAACAGGGACUCCAACCAGGGACUCCAACCAGGGACUCCAACAAUGGACUCCACAGGCUCUUAUAGAUGUACAGACACAGGGAGAGGCUUUUUACGGACUUACUCAAUUUAGAGUAAUCAUUCUGCCUUUAGGUGUAGACAUGCCUAACAUCCUUAUACAGCCAUAACUGUCACUUGAAGUGAGCUUUUUAUGAUCAUGUAAUAACCGAGGGGUGGUAGACGAAGUGUCAGUGUUUUUAGCUAGACUUUUGCCAAGUAAGUGAUGAUAAGAAAGAUCGUAAUGAUGCUGAUGGGGAUGAGUGAAUACCGCCAGUGUUAUUGAUGAUUAGUCGAUUCUGGAGGAUUGCUAAUUUCCAGGGUAAUAUAGUCACCACACAGAAACAACUGACAGAGCUCCGGUAUUAUCCAUUUGAACAGCUGAAUACACACUGAGGCCACUCACUUUCAGUGGCUGGCUCAAGUUCUCGCACCCGUGUGACAACCUCUAACCCUCUGGUCAAAAGUCCAGGUCGGUCAUAAUAGCCUUACUACCCCUUUGCUACAUCUGUCAGUGGGUCAAGGGAAACUAGUGUGUAUCAGAUACGGGACGAGACAGAGAAAAGCUUAUCUGAUUGGACUGAGUAAUGAGGUCACAUGCUGCAACGGCAAAGGGGCGGGGGCGUAUAUGUCACUCGCACACCUGGGAUGCAAACGGCUCAUAAGUACUGAUAAUAACCGCUUGGAGACGUCGGGUAGGUUGGGUGUGUCAAAAGUCCAGAAGUCCUUGUUGGGUUCCUGAAGUGUUGCUACCUACACCCCUUAUCUACCAGUGCUCUCUAGCAACAUGCUUGGAGAACAGGAAGAGGAUCUCUAGAUUUCAUCAGAUCAUUAAACGUGGUCUAAAGCCUGUGAGAUCUUAGCUAGAUCCUAUCUUGUCUACAAUUGAGCACAUUCAGAUUAUUGUUGUAAGGAUGAUAAAACCCUUUUCAAAAUAACCAUGUGUUGUGCUAUGUAUAGGGGCCAUGUGUUGUGCUAUGUGUAGGGGCCAUGUGUUGUGCUAUGUAUAGGGGCCAUGUGUUGUGCUAUGUAUAGGGGCCAUGUGUUGUGCUAUGUAUAGGGGCCAUGUGUUGUGCUAUGUAUAGGGGCCAUGUGUGGUGCUAUGUAUAGGGGCCAUGUGUUGUGCUAUGUAUAGGGGCCAUGUGUUGUGCUAUGUAUAGGGGCCAUGUGUUGUGCUAUGUAUAGGGGCCAUGUGUUGUGCUAUGUAUAGGGGCCAUGUGUUGUGCUAUGUAUAGGGGGCAUGUGUUGUGCUAUGUAUAGGGGCCAUGUGUUGUGCUAUGUAUAGGGGCCAUGUGUUGUGCUAUGUGUAGAGGCCAUGUGUUGUGAUAUGUAUAGGGGCCAUGUGUUGUGCUAUGUAUAGGGGCCAUGUGUUGUGCUAUGUAUAGGGGCCAUGUGUUGUGCUAUGUGUAGAGGCCAUGUAUUGUGAUAUGUAUAGGAGCCAUGUGUUGUGCUAUGUAUAUGGGCCAUGUGUUGUGCUAUGUAUAGGGGCCAUGUG
ensembl:lncRNA